AGUGAACGCUGGCGGUAGGCCUAACACAUGCAAGUCGAACGGCAGCACAGUAAGAGCUUGCUCUUACGGGUGGCGAGUGGCGGACGGGUGAGGAAUACAUCGGAAUCUACUUUUUCGUGGGGGAUAACGUAGGGAAACUUACGCUAAUACCGCAUACGACCUACGGGUGAAAGCAGGGGAUCUUCGGACCUUGCGCGAAUGAAUGAGCCGAUGUCGGAUUAGCUAGUUGGCGGGGUAAAGGCCCACCAAGGCGACGAUCCGUAGCUGGUCUGAGAGGAUGAUCAGCCACACUGGAACUGAGACACGGUCCAGACUCCUACGGGAGGCAGCAGUGGGGAAUAUUGGACAAUGGGCGCGAGCCUGAUCCAGCCAUACCGCGUGGGUGAAGAAGGCCUUCGGGUUGUAAAGCCCUUUUGUUGGGAAAGAAAAGCAGCAGGUUAAUACGCCGCUGUUCUGACGGUACCCAAAGAAUAAGCACCGGCUAACUUCGUG
rnacentral:rRNA from 1 species